rnacentral:rRNA from 1 species
UACGAAGGGUGCAAGCGUUACUCGGAAUUACUGGGCGUAAAGCGUGCGUAGGUGGUUUUUUAAGUCCGUUGUGAAAGCCCUGGGCUCAACCUGGGAAUGGCAGUGGAUACUGGAAAGCUAGAGUGCGGUAGAGGGUAGUGGAAUUCCCGGUGUAGCAGUGAAAUGCGUAGAGAUCGGGAGGAACACCAGUGGCGAAGGCGGCUCCCUGGACCAGCACUGACACUGAGGCACGAAAGCGUGGGGAGCAAACAGG